AAGACUAUAGACCUGCGGAGUACCUGCGGAGGGAUCAUUAACGUAUCUAUGAUGGGGUGCGGAGCGCCCUGCUCCGGUCGAACGGCCGUGCAGCGGGUGCGCCGCCCCCGUCCCACCUCACAAACCCACUGUGAACAUUCACCGGUGGAGGGGGCUCGGUCUGCGCCGUGUCCCCGAUGCCGAAUACCCAUACUCCAGUUGCAAAGAACGUCGUGCGGACUCGGUGCCGCCUAAAACAUG
rnacentral:misc_RNA from 1 species